AAGCCGGCCAGUGAAUCUGCGUAGCUGAACGUGUUUCUGCAGAAGUGUAAAACCUGCUGGCAAUAGUAAUGCCAUGUUACGAGCCUUAAAGACAUUGAAGUCCUUAAGGUCCCUGAAAAUGGCUACAAAA
rnacentral:snoRNA from 1 species